UCUUUCUGUGCCUGACUUAUUUCACUUAACACAAUGGCCUCCAAGCUUAUCCUUGUUACCUCCAAUGACAGAUUUCUUUUUUAAAUGGCUGAAUAGUAUUCGUGUGUGUGUGUGUGUAUGUGUGUCCAUUUCUUGGAUUUUCUUUGCAGCAUCAGCGACAGCAGCAGCACAGGCAGCAGCAGCACCUGGGAGCUAGUUAGAAAUGCAGACGCUUGGAUCCCAUCCCAGGCCUACCCAGUCAGAGUCUACAUUUUAACAAGGUCCCCAGGUGUCUCAUGUGCACAUUCAAAUUUAAGAAGCUGGACUGGACGGAAGAGGGAGAAGGGGAAGCAGAAACGGAGAGCAGGAAGGAGGAAAGGAAGGAAGAUGGGAGGGAAGGAAAAAUGUCAAACAAAAUGAACACAUGUAGGCCAGCUGCAGUGGCUCAUGCCUGCAAUCCCAGCACUUUGGGAGGCCACGGCGGGAGGAUUGCUUGAACCCAGGAAUUUGAGGCUGCAGUGAGCUAUGAUUGUGACACUGCACUCCAGCCUGGGUGAUGAAAUGAGAUCCUGUCUUUAAAAAUAAAUAAAUAACACAUGUAAAACACCCAACAGAGUGCUGAGCAUUUGGUGAGUGCUCUACAGACAGUACUAUCGCCAUUAAUUCUUCCUCUCUACUAGCAGUAAGACCAGAGCAAUUGAGCAUCUGUCCUACUGGGGGGCUUCAGAAGGAGGGUGAGUGUCAG
rnacentral:lncRNA from 10 species